GACGAACGCUGGCGGCGUGCCUAAUACAUGCAAGUUGAGCGCUGAAGGUUGGUACUUGUACCGACUGGAUGAGCAGCGAACGGGUGAGUAACGCGUGGGGAAUCUGCCUUUGAGCGGGGGACAACAUUUGGAAACGAAUGCUAAUACCGCAUAAAAACUUUAAACACAAGUUUUAAGUUUGAAAGAUGCAAUUGCAUCACUCAAAGAUGAUCCCGCGUUGUAUUAGCUAGUUGGUGAGGUAAAGGCUCACCAAGGCGAUGAUACAUAGCCGACCUGAGAGGGUGAUCGGCCACAUUGGGACUGAGACACGGCCCAAACUCCUACGGGAGGCAGCAGUAGGGAAUCUUCGGCAAUGGACGAAAGUCUGACCGAGCAACGCCGCGUGAGUGAAGAAGGUUUUCGGAUCGUAAAACUCUGUUGGUAGAGAAGAAAGUUGGUGAGAGUGGAAAGCUCAUCAAGUGACGGUAACUACCCAGAAAGGGACGGCUAACUACGUG
rnacentral:rRNA from 1 species